rnacentral:rRNA from 1 species
CCUACGUGAGGCUGCAGUGGGGAAUAUUGGACAAUGGGCGAAAGCCUGAUCCAGCCAUGCCGCGUGUGUGAAGAAGGCCUUCGGGUUGUAAAGCACUUUCAGUGGGGAAGAAAGCCUUGGGGCUAAUACCCUCGAGGAAGGACAUCACCCACAGAAGAAGCACCGGCUAACUCCGUGCCAGCAGCCGCGGUAAUACGGAGGGUGCGAGCGUUAAUCGGAAUUACUGGGCGUAAAGCGCGCGUAGGCGGUCUGAUAAGCCGGUUGUGAAAGCCCCGGGCUCAACCUGGGAACGGCAUCCGGAACUGUCAGGCUAGAGUGCAGGAGAGGAAGGUAGAAUUCCCGGUGUAGCGGUGAAAUGCGUAGAGAUCGGGAGGAAUACCAGUGGCGAAGGCGGCCUUCUGGACUGACACUGACGCUGAGGUGCGAAAGCGUGGGUAGCAAACAGGAUUAGAUACCCUUGUAGUC